AAGACUGUACUUUCAAGGAUCAUUUCUACAGUUUGUUACUAAAGAAGUUUCUCUGAAAGCAUAGAGCACAGAAAACCACCAGCAGGAAACACAGCACUCUCUCCAGAGGGUAGUGCUGAUUCUUGGUGUCAAUUUUGCAAGUGCCAUUCACCAUUGAUCCUGGUUUUCUUCCUUUGGAAGAGCAAGAGGGAGAGGAUGCAGUCGGA